rnacentral:misc_RNA from 1 species
GUGAAUCAUCAAAUCUUUGAACGCAAAUUGCACUCUCUUUGGAGAGUAUGCCUGUUUGAGGGUCAGGGAUAAUAAAAAUAGGUGUGUUGCUUCUUUGUUACGUAUCGGAGUUUGGGUGAUCUUAAUGACCUUUAGGUUUUAAGAGGCUUAAAAUUGACUUUUUUUGCGCUUUUUAGAUGUACAUAAAUUCUUUUUUUUUUUAGUCUAUUUUUAAUGCCAAAAUCUUAUUAGAUGCGACCAUAUCGUGUGGUUUCGUGUCUAUAAAUUUUUCAUGAUUUGACCUAAAAUUA